rnacentral:rRNA from 1 species
AUUGAACGCUGGCGGCAUGCCUUACACAUGCAAGUCGAACGGCAGCACGGGAGCAAUCCUGGUGGCGAGUGGCGAACGGGUGAGUAAUAUAUCGGAACGUGCCCAGUCGUGGGGAUAACGUAGCGAAAGCUACGCUAAUACCGCAUACGAUCUACGGAUGAAAGCGGGGGAUCGCAAGACCUCGCGCGAUUGGAGCGGCCGAUAUCAGAUUAGGUAGUUGGUGAGGUAAAGGCUCACCAAGCCGACGAUCUGUAGCUGGUCUGAGAGGACGACCAGCCACACUGGGACUGAGACACGGCCCAGACUCCUACGGGAGGCAGCAGUGGGGAAUUUUGGACAAUGGACGCAAGUCUGAUCCAGCCAUUCCGCGUGCAGGAUGAAGGCCCUCGGGUUGUAAACUGCUUUGUACGGAACGAAAGGUUUCUAUUAAUACUAGGAGCUCAUGACGGUACCGU